rnacentral:sRNA from 1 species
UAGCAUUUAUUGUUAGCCUGUUGCUUGA